rnacentral:rRNA from 1 species
AGAGUUUGAUCCUGGCUCAGGGUGAACGCUGGCAGUGUGGAUAAGGCAUGCAAGUCAAGGGGGCCCGCAAGGGCAACCGGCAGACGAGGUAGUAAUACACAGGUACGUACCCGGAAGUCUGGCAUAGCCCGUCGAAAGACGGGGUAAUUCCAGAUAGUCCCGCAAGGGUAAAGAUUUAUCGCUUCCGGAACGGCCUGUGCCGUAUCAGCUAGUUGGUAGGGUAAUGGCCUACCAAGGCUUCGACGCGUAGGGGAGGUGAGAGCCUGACCCCCACCGAUGGGACUGCGACACGGCCCAUACUCCUACGGGAGGCUGCAGUCGAGAAUCUUCCGCAAUGGGCGAAAGCCUGACGGAGCGACACUGCGUGGUGGAUGAAGUCCCUCGGGACGUAAACACCUUUUAUGAGGGAAGAAGUAAUUGACGGUACCUCAUGAAUAAGGGGCUCCUAACUCUGUGCCAGCAGGAGCGGUAAUACAGAGGCCCCAAGCGUUACCCGGAAUCACUGGGCGUAAAGAGUGCGAAGGCGGUUAUAUUAGUCUCCCGUUAAAUCCAUGGGCUCAACCUAUGGCUCGCGGGGGAACGGUAUAACUUGAGGGCGUGAGAGGUAUAUGGAACUCAUGGUGUAGGGGUAAAAUCCGUUGAUAUCAUGGGGAACACCAAAGGCGAAGGCAAUAUACUGGCACGCACCUGACGCUCUAGCACGAAAGCUAGGGUAGCGAACGGGAUUAGAUACCCCGGUAGUCCUAGCCCUAAACGUUGCUCGCUCGCUUUCGGGAGUAUCGACCCUCUCGGAGGCUAAGCUAACGCGGUAAGCGAGCCGCCUGGGUAGUACGAGCGCAAGCUUAAAACUCAAAGGAAUAGACGGGGACCCGCACAAGCGGUGGAGGAUGUGGCUCAAUUCGAAGCAACGCGAAGAACCUUACCCGGGCUCGAAGCGCAGGAAUUAGCUCUGUGAAAGCAGAGUGACUCCUUCACCGGUGGAACCUGCGUAGGUGUUGCAUGGCUGUCGUCAGCUCGUGUCGUGAGAUGUCGGGUUAAGUCCCUUAACGAGCGAAACCCCUGUCUUUAGUUGCCAACAGGUAAUGCUGGGGACUCUAGAGAGACUGCCGGUGUUAAACCGGAGGAAGGUGGGGAUGACGUCAAGUCAUCAUGGCCCUUACGUCCGGGGCUGCAAACGUGCUACAAUGGCUGGUACAGCGCGAAGCCAAGCCGCGAGGCGGAGCAAAUCGCUUAAAACCAGCCUCAGUUCAGAUUGGGAGGCUGCAACCCGCCCCCAUGAAGCCGGAAUCGCUAGUAAUCGGGGAUCAGCCACGCCCCGGUGAAUAUGUUCCUGAGCCUUGUACACACCGCCCGUCAAGCCACGGGAGCCGGGAGCACCCGAAGUCGCCCUCAAAAGCGCCCACGGUGAGACCGGUGACUGGGACUAAGUCGUAACAAGGU